GCAGAGCCGUGGCCAUGCCCACGGGUGCUAUUGAGCCGGACGAACCCCAAACAGGCUGGGGAGCAACAUCGGC
rnacentral:ncRNA from 1 species